GUGCCAGCAGCCGCGGUAAUACGUAGGGUGCGAGCGUUGUCCGGAAUUAUUGGGCGUAAAGAGCUCGUAGGCGGUUUGUCGCGUCUAUCGUGAAAACUGGAGGCUUAACUUUCAGCGUGCGGUGGAUACGGGCAGACUUGAGUUCGGUAGGGGAGACUGGAAUUCCUGGUGUAGCGGUGAAAUGCGCAGAUAUCAGGAGGAACACCGGUGGCGAAGGCGGGUCUCUGGGCCGAUACUGACGCUGAGGAGCGAAAGCGUGGGGAGCGAACAGGAUUAGAAACCCCCGUAGUCC
rnacentral:rRNA from 1 species